rnacentral:rRNA from 1 species
GAUGAACGCUGACAGAAUGCUUAACACAUCAGCAAUUGAUUGGUGGCGGACGGGUGAGUAACGCGUAAAGAACUUGCCUCACAGGUAGGGACAACAUUUGGAAACGAAUGCUAAUACCUAAUACUGUGAGAGAGCUUUGCGUCACAUUAGCUAGUUGGAGAGGUAACGGCUCACCAAGGCGAUGAUGGGUAGCCGGCCUGAGAGGGUGAUCGGGCACAAGGGGACUGGGACACGGCCAUUACUGCUACGGGAGGCAGGAGUGGGGAAUAGUGGACAAUGGGCCAAAGUCUGAUCCAGCAAUUCUGUGUGCACGAUGAAGUUUUCGGAAUGUAAAGUGCUUUCAGUUGGGAAGCGUUACCGACAGAAGAAGCACCGGCUAACUCCGUGCCAGCCGCCGCGGUAAUAC